UGGGGAAUUUUGGACAAUGGGCGAAAGCCUGAUCCAGCAAUGCCGCGUGUGUGAAGAAGGCCUUCGGGUUGUAAAGCACUUUUGUCCGGAAAGAAAUCCUUGGCUCUAAUACAGUCGGGGGAUGACGGUACCGGAAGAAUAAGCACCGGCUAACUACGUGCCAGCAGCCGCGGUAAUACGUAGGGUGCAAGCGUUAAUCGGAAUUACUGGGCGUAAAGCGUGCGCAGGCGGUUUGCUAAGACCGAUGUGAAAUCCCCGGGCUCAACCUGGGAACUGCAUUGGUGACUGGCAGGCUAGAGUAUGGCAGAGGGGGGUAGAAUUCCACGUGUAGCAGUGAAAUGCGUAGAGAUGUGGAGGAAUACCGAUGGCGAAGGCAGCCCCCUGGGCCAAUACUGACGCUCAUGCACGAAAGCGUGGGGAGCAAACAGGAUUAGAUACCCUGGUAGUCCACGCCCUAACGAUGUCAACUAGUUGUUGGGGAUUCAUUUCCUUAGUAACGUAGCUAACGCGUGAAGUUGACCGCCUGGGGAGUACGGUCGCAAGAUUAAAACUCAAAUGAAUUGACGGGGUCAUAGCUGUUUCCU
rnacentral:rRNA from 1 species